UACUGGGGCGUAAAGCGCUCGCAGGCGGUCAUUAAGUCAGAUGUGAAAGCCCCGAGCUUAACUUGGGAAUUGCAUCUGAAACUGGUUGGCUAGAGUCUUGUAGAGGGGGGUAGAAUUCCAUGUGUAGCGGUGAAAUGCGUAGAGAUGUGGAGGAAUACCGGUGGCGAAGGCGGCCCCCUGGACUAAGACUGACGCUCAGGUGCGAAAGCGUGGGGAGCAAACAGGAUUAGAUACCCUGGUAGUCCACGCUGUAAACGAUGUCGAUUUAGAGGUUGUGGUCUUGAACCGUGGCUUCUGGAGCUAACGCGUUAAAUCGACCGCCUGGGGAGUACGGCCGCAAGGUUAAAACUCAAAUGAAUUGACGGGGGCCCGCACAAGCGGUGGAGCAUGUGGUUUAAUUCGAUGCAACGCGAAGAACCUUACCUACUCUUGACAUCCAUCGAAUCCUUUAGAGAUAGAGGAGUGCCUUCGGGAACGCUGAGACAGGUGCUGCAUGGCUGUCGUCAGCUCGUGUUGUGAAAUGUUGGGGUUAAGUCCCGCAACGAGCGCAACCCUUAUCCUUUGUUGCCAGCACGUGAUGGUGGGAACUCAAAGGAGACUGCCGGUGAUAAACCGGAGGAAGGGGGGGGAUGACGUCAAGUCAUCAUGGCCCUUACGAGUAGGGCUACACACGUGCUACAAUGGCAKAUACAAAGAGAAGCGACCUCGCGAGAGCAAGCGGAACUCAUAGAGUCUGUCGUAGUCCCGGAUUGGAGUCUGCAACUCNACUCCAUGAAGUCGGAAUCGCUAGUAAUCGUACAUCACAAUGCUACGGUGAAUACGUUCCCGGGCCUUGUACACACCGCCCGUCACACCAUGGGGAGUGUGUUGCAUAAGAAGUAGGUAGCUUAACCUUCUGGACGGCGCUUACCACUUUGUGAUCAUGACUG
rnacentral:rRNA from 1 species